GACACUGAAUAGGGGAAUAGAUUUUGAACAAUAACGUAUAAACCUUUAAAAACAGACCUGCUGUAAGCUACAAGAUUGUUAAUCGAUGGCACAUG